rnacentral:rRNA from 1 species
CCAAUCUAACAGCAUGAGAGAGGUAGUGACAAGAAAUAACAAUACAAGGCAGUUAAAAUGCUUUGUAAUUGGAAUGAUAGAAAUUUAAACACUUUUUAAAGUAUCAAUUGGAGGGCAAGUCUGGUGCCAGCAGCCGCGGUAAUUCCAGCUCCAAUAGCGUAUAUUAAAAUUGUUGCAGUUAAAAAGCUCGUAGUUGAAUUUCUGUUAAAAAUAACCGGUCUGCUUUUAAUAAAAGUGGUAUCUUGGUGUGUUUUUAGCAAUAAUGUCCUUUGAAAUGUUUUUUACUUUAUUGUAAUAGAUUAUAUUCAGGAUUUUUACUUUGAGAAAAUUAGAGUGUUUCUAGCAGGCUAACGCUUUGAAUACUGCAGCAUGGAAUAAUAAAAUAGGAUUUUGGUUCUACAUUAUUGGUUUUAAGAACUAAAUUAAUGAUUGAUAGGGACAGUUGGGGGCAUUUGUAUUUAACUGUCAGAGGUGAAAUUCUUAGAUUUGUUAAAGACAAACUACUGCGAAAGCAUUUGCCAAAGAUGUUUUCAUUAAUCAAGAACGAAAGUUAGGGGAUCGAAGACGAUCAGAUACCGUCGUAGUCUUAACUAUAAACUCUGCCGACGCGAGAUUCGCAGUCCUUU